GACGUAGGGCGCGAGCGUUGUCCGGAUUUAUUGGGCGUAAAGAGCUCGUAGGCGGCUUGUCGCGUCGUCUGUGAAAACCCGCGGCUCAACGGCGGGCUUGCAGUCGAUACGGGCAGGCUGGAGUUCGGUAGGGGAGACUGGAAUUCCUGGUGUAGCGGUGAAAUGCGCAGAUAUCAGGAGGAACACCAAUGGCGAAGGCAGCUCACUGGGACGGUAUUGACGCUGAGACGCGAAAGCGUGGGGAGCAAACAGG
rnacentral:rRNA from 1 species